rnacentral:lncRNA from 10 species
CGGCCGGCUAGCUGGUAGUAGGAGGGGUGUGUUCUCUCUCCUCAGGGUGAUUGACACCUGUCACCUGAGAAAUCCAGACACAGCCUGAGCCUUCCCUCCCUGGCCAUCAGUCUGCUCUCUCAGGGGGUGACUCCUGUCGGAGGUGAAAGAGAAGGUGGCCCAGCACCCAGUCAUUCCUGGUCCGCUUGGACCCUCCAGAAAGUCUGGAGGUACCUGUGCCCCAGAGAGAAAGAGAGCUUCGUUCAGCUGCUGAGUGCAGAGACCGGGGCAGGGGCUCACUCCCAGGGCCGGCGACCAUGCAGUCCCAAGAGGUCGGUACCAUUAUCUUAUUUCACAAGCAAGAAAACGGGAGUUCCAGUCCAGGUGGUUAAGCAGCUCGCCUGAGGUCGCAAAUGGCCAAGCUGGGAGUCAAGCCCAGGAGCCCUGAAGCCCCUGGCAUCCUGCGCCAAAUGCACAUUGAAGAAAGGCAGUCGGAGAGCACUGGGUGGGGAGCCAGGAGCCUGAAGUCAGCCACUAAGCUGUGUGACUUCAAGCAAGUUGCUUGGCCUCUCUGAAUCAGUUUUCUCUUCCAUAAAAACAAGGGCAUGAAUUCCUCUUCUUCAGGUCGUUGGUAGGAUCAAAGGAACCAAAGAUGUGACUCUGUCUCCCACACUAGCCCCAGCCCCUCCCCAAGGGCAGCAGCUGUGAAGGAUGGUGGGAAGAUGUACUGGGAGGAGGGGGCUACCCAGAGCUGGCCCCAGAACAAAGCUCCACAGCUGCUGACAACAGCUGGGGAGAGCUCUGGGCCUGGCCCAAGCAGGGGGAGAAUGGGCAGGCUGGGAAGUCACCUCUGGCCCUCCUCUGUCACCCUUCCCUGCUGACAGCUGCUGAGGCCUCAGGGCCAAGGGCCCCAGAGCAGGCAGGGAGUGGGGGUGUGGAGGGGGUGGGCGGGCUGGCUGGGGUCAUCUUAGUCCUCAUGCUGUCAACUGCUCAAGCCUCAGGGUGCCUGGCCUCGCUGUCCCAUAGCACAGCCCUUUACCCAGUUCCCUGGGAAGCCUGGGUGGAGAGGCCGGAGCAAAGGUCUGGGGCUGAACAUGCCUUAACUGGAGCCUGGCCUGCUCCAGGGCCCCCGUGGGGAGGUGCAGGGCCGGGAGGGAGGGAGUCCUGAAGAGGCUUGCAAUUUCCCUGGUGCACAGCCCCACUGCAGGCCCUUCAGGAAACGUCCCUGGAGGCUGUGAGCUUGGCCCACCCCAGCCCAUCUCAGCCCCCUCAGCUGCCGGCCAGCCCAGCUCCACUCCCAGUUCGGUGCCAAGCCUUUCCAGCCCGCUCCAGCCCACGCAGCUCUCUCUCCUCUGAACUCUCACAUACCCAUAAUUACAACUGACCAUAUUUUCCAAAGCAGAAAUCAAGAAACCACUAAAUAAAGGAUUUCUGGGCUACUUCUGAGUGUCAGAGGCAGCCUGGGAGGUGAAGUUUGGAUGCAGAGGUAUUCAAAUCUCUGAGACACGUUGAUAGUUUUUUGCGAUGACUACUAUAUCUAUCAUAUUUUAUUAAUAAGUCAAAGCCAUCCUAGGAAAUGUGUGUUGGGCACAUGCCACCCCAUACCACUGUUAACUGUUGACUGGACACUUUAGCCUGGCAGUUUCCUAGCUGUGUGGCCCUGGGCAAAUCACUUGACCUCUCUGAGCCUCUGUGUCUUCAUCUGUAAAAUGGGAAUAAAAAUGACCCCCUCACAAGGCUGCCGUCAGAAUUCAACAGGACAACCUAAGUGCUAGUAUCAGGCACUUACGAGGUGUAAGUACCACUUCUUCCUUCUCUCCCAGUCCUAUCCACCCCAGAGCUCACACACCAAGUGAGUGAGCUCUCCAAAGACCCCCGGGGAGAAUGAGACACAAGAGAAACCUGCCUGCAAAAGGUUCCAAUGCAUUCCUGGAUCCUGUACUGUCCAAGCUGGGAGGGAUCACCUAGCCAACACCCUCACUUAUCAGAUGGGGAAACCAAAUCCCAAAGAAGGGAAGUGAGCAUGUUAUGGGGAACCAACCAGACUUGGAGGGCCUGGGUUCAAUCCCAUCUCUGACACUUCCGGCUGCUGGGGAACUUUAUCACUUUGAGCCUCAUUUUUGUGCCUCCCAUACCCCCAUAAUGUUGGAUUAAUAAUUAUUGCUGGGCGCAGUGGCUUGUGUCUGUAACCCCAGCAAUUUGGGAGGCCGAGGCAGGCGGAUUACUUAAGAUCAGGAGUUUGAUACCAGCCUGGCCAACACGGUGAAACCUCAUCUCCACUAAAAAUAUAAAAAUUAGCACAGCAUGGUGGCAUGUGCCUAUAAUCUCAGCUACCUGGGGAGCUGAGGCAGGAGAAUCACUUGAACCCGGGAGGCGGAGGUUGCAGUGAGCUGAGAUUGCACCACUGCACUCCAGCCUGGGCGAAAGAGUGAGGCUCUAGCUCAAAAAAAAAAAAAAAGCUGGAUUAUGUAUACAGAGUGUUAAGAAUGGUGCUUUUGGGCAGCCGUGAGAAGAGAGAGGAGCCUCCCAGCAACUCGAUUGGCAGAGGCAGAUCCAGGACCCAGCCUCUUGGUUCCUAACAAAGGGUCAUUUACCUUUCACGAAGCCACCUCCUCCUCUCCUUGGGGCAAGGAUUCUCAAAGGCCAGGAUAAGGGGCUACACAGAUGAGGCCUCUGGGAGGGUGGCAAUGGGCUAGGUCUUUGUGGGGGUGCUAAUCAGGGCCAGAGCCCUCAGUCUCAACCUCUGGCACCCAGAGCUGGUCCCUCCAGCCUGUCUUCAAGCCCCAGUCAGACAGGCCCAGCCUAGGAAAUGGCAGGAAGGGCUGGCAAGGGAGGGAUGCCGUGUCCUUGGCAAAGAGAAUGCGACAUCCCAGGGACUCGGGUUACCGGAAAUGGUAAAUCUCCCCGCUGCCUGUCACCUUCGACCAGGAAUGUCUGCUGCCCCAGGGAACAUCCUGUCCACCUGCCCUCAGACAGCCCACGGACAGCCAGGAACCUGGACCCACUCUCUGCUCCCUGCCCAACCCCCAGGCCUUAGGUUAGCUGCUGGGUCCCCCCAGCCAAAGGGUACCUGUCAUUCUGGGGCAGUGAGCCCGGCUGUAACUAACUGACCAAUCCCAGGGAAGGAGCCAUCCUAGGAAAUGUGUGCUGGGCACAGGGAAGGAGGAGAAGGCUAGAAGGGGAACCCCCAAAAGAUUGAGAGCUACCCCCAAAUCUGAUCCAUCCAAUCCCAUCAUACGUGGAUUCUGAGUCCCCAGUUUGGAUGAAGGCUCUGAUCUCAUAAACCCAACACAAGAGGCAGUACAGUGUGAGUUCUGGGUGGGACUAACCCAGCCGGAGGCAUGGCUCUGCCGCUUGCCAGCUGGGUGGCUCUGGGUAAGGCACUGCAGUGCCUUCCGCCCUCAAUUCUAAUACAAAAGUGACAGCAGCCUGUGACAGGAACCUGUGAAAUUUGUGGCGCUAAGCUGUGAGUCAUUUAGCCCAGGAUCUGGUGUGUAGAGAGGGCCCAGUAAACAGUGGCUAUUAGGUAUUGGGAAGUAUUAGAAAGA